rnacentral:lncRNA from 1 species
UACGAGUAAUGUCUUUGUGACAAGAACUUUCUUUGUCUUUUAUUCCCAUGUUUGAACUAGUAUAGGUCGGGGUUACACAUUAUGGUGCACAUCACUUUAUUUAUCAUCGUUACAUUGAACGCUCAUUGACUAAACAACGAUGAUCCAUCCGUCUUGUAUUACAGGUGUUCAUUUCAUUGGCCACCGAUGCUUGUAAGACUACUCCCAUAUGGUUGUUGUUGUGGAUAUGGUUGUUGAGGUUGGUGUGGUUGCUGGGGGAAUGGUUGUUGGGGUUGCUGGGAAAUUGUUUGUUCUGGUUGCUGGGAUAAUUGUUGUUGGGGCUGUUGAAAUGGUUGUUGUGGUUGUUGGGGUAAUGGUUGUUGUGGUUGAAGGAUGGAUGGUUGUUGGGGUUGCUGGGGUUGGGGCUGGGGAAAUGAUUGUUGUGAUUGUUGGGGUUGCUGGGGAAAUGGUUGUUGCGGUCGUAGGGGGAAUGGUUGUUGUGGUU